AGGAAAAUGUCUGUGUUUGGAGAAUGGCCACUGGGGAAUUUGGGUUUACUCAAUAAUCCAGAGCAUGACAAUAACUGUUUUCAUUUUUUUGUGUUGUUCCAUCCAAGUUACUGGUACUUCUGCAUUCAUCCUACAGCACUGCACUUGACACCCUCCUCCUAUGUGAGGUGAAGCUGUUCAUCCCUACUAUCUUGUUUUCAUCAGUAGCACCAUUUUUUUUGUCUUGCUAUUAAUAGUGUCCUUGUGUAGUCUUUUAGUCUUCACUGUUACUGUAUCAACAGUUAUUUUCUCAGUUCUUGUAUUCUAGUAAAUGAUUUACCUGUUUAUUAGCAUUGCUAUUGUAAGAAAAAAAAAAAGUGCACUGGUGGUCCUGAUUCUGAGUCUGGAGCAGCAUGAGCAGAGCCCAAGCUUCUAGUGACACCACGAAAGAAAAAGCUAUGAGUGACACAAGACAUUUAAGCCACUGCUUCAGUGAAUUUAUGUAGACCCGUAUUCCAGGAACUGCUGCAACUGAGAGAGAAGACACCCUUACUUUAUGAGACCAAAAUUCAUCAAAUUUUUAAGACAGAAGAAAACAUGUAAUCUGAAGGUACUCAUUUGAGUGUGACCUGUGAUUUCGGUGGAGAAAAGAAUAAAAUUCCCAUUUAGUUAUUAAGUAAGGAUUGUUUUCUUCCAAAGGACUCAGAAGCUGUCUUCCACUACACUGUCAGGUCUGUGUCUGCUCUGGGAAGUUUGAGUCCUGUACAUGCUUCAUUCUGUAUCCAUAAUCAUCUUAGUGACAUAACAGUGAUUUCAAGGAACAGAUAAUCCACCACGUGGCAACAUUUCUCCUCAUCAGCUUUUUCCUACAGUUGUAAUGCUGAGCAGGAACAACUGAACAGCUAUGACUGCCAUGCUUCCUACUAUUUAGAGAGGCAUGGCUGUAUUUCCAUCAUGUGUCUGCACUGUGGUUUUCCUUAUCCAGCAAGAUGCACAGUUAUCAGCUUGAAGAAAUGCUAACUCUUGCUACUGCGUCUAGAAAACUCUGAAGCAAAGCUAGUAGUACAACAGCAAGCAAGUAGCUCCUUGUUCUGACCAUAUAAAGCACUAGCUGGUUAGCAUCAAGUUGGCCCAAAAUGUUUUUAUAAGAUAGUAGAAAUCAUUUUAUAUCACAAAUCAUUUGGCCAGAUCCCUCCUUCAUUUAAUUCCAUUUACUUUUGGCUUGAAAUCAGGAAGGACUUGGAUAACUCUGGCUAAUAGUGGACUGUAAGCUCAAAAUGUGAAUCUAAAUUUUCACGUCUCUAACUUGGAAGUCAGGUUUUGUUACAAGUUGUCUUUCUUUGUGAUAGCAAGACAACAUGGGAUUGUGGAAUUUAAAUGCUUUGUAUUUUGGUUAUAUGUUGCUCAUUUCACGAAAGUACUAGCUAUUUUUCUACUUAAAAUAAAUGUCUUUUGUAUAUCUGCCUGCAUGCAGUCACCCUGGAAAAUUGUACGUAAUUUCCCAGUUCAGUUUGAGUUACAAGUGUCUAUGUGAAACCUCAAAAUGACAAAACUCUAUUGCACAAAAAAAGGAACAUUAAAAAUAAAGAAGUGCAUUAUUCAAUCUGUUUCUUUAUGUCUGCACACCAUCAGGCAAACAACCAGCUCUCAAUAGACUAUAAAAAAUAACAAAUAAGACCAAGGGAGUACAACUGAAAUAACCCCAAAGAAUUAAGGCCAAGUAAUUACAUCUUUUUAGAUAUAUUGACUUUAAAGAAGUGUUUUCUUUGAGGGAACUUGAGGUUAACCAUAUGGCAGAGUGACCUAAUCUUCAAAAGUACAAGAAUGAGAGGCUUUUGACGAAGCAUGGCAUUGCUAUCUACAUCUGUGACACAGGAGAACAAAUUAUGUAGGUCUGUAGAUAAUUCGAUAGUCAUUACUAAUAAUUAUAGUUAUGCAAGUUAAUAUUAUGGCAAACAUUCAAGUAUAAUGUUUUUGGAUAUAAAAUGCACAGUGAUGGAGCCAGGAAAUCAAGUCCCCUAUGUAGAACAGUGACUCAUUGCAGUAUGAAUCAUUUAUGUCUAAAAGCAGAACUGGUUCUAUUGUGUUUUGCAUCGUGUCAAUAUUUCCAUGGUAAAUCAUUGUUUUCAGGGAUUCUAUCCAUGGAAGAUGGAUCUUUUAUAAACACUGGUACACAAAACAGCAGGCCAACAGCACUAAUGUUAAUUUCUGUAAUAGGUGUUUUACCAUGCAAAAGCAAUUUGGGUCAUUUGUAUGUAUGUUCAAGACAAAUUUGAUUUUCAAAUAAAUAUUUUAACUGUAUCUAGAUCUUGUGGUCUUAAGAGGAAAAAAUCUGUGUAUUUGACUGUCUCUCAUUGUUUAGCUUUUGCAUUUACGUUCGUUCUUUCUACUAUCUUUCCUCCCAAUUCUUUCUACUUUGUAGACAGACAUGUUUGCUUCAGGAUUUGUUUAACUAGAAGUGUAAACCCAGUGGACUUCUGAGGGCCUGAUUCUUUAGUCAAAAUCAGCAAACUCUUAGCUCCCUGCAUGUUCCUUGUAAUUACAUGCAUACUUAUGGUUGAUUUCCUAAAUGUUUUGUAACAGGUAUAAUAAAAAUCUGGUCUACAAGUAUAAAUGUUUUCAGUCCACACAUUUUAAUCAAACCUUCAUGACUUGAGCAUAAUCUUUCUCAGUAAUGACAGUACAUGAAUAGUCCUAGAUUUGCCAGACAGACUGAACCCAGGUUCCAGGUUGACAUGUGAGUAGGAUAACAAAAUUCAGGUUUGACAGACUUCUACUCUUAGCAAAAUGGUAAGGAUGGAGGUGGAGGAGAUUUUUCUGUUCAGUUUCAGAUAUGGAUAAACUGGACAUUUGUAUGUAAGCCAGCUACCUAGGUAUUAAACAUCAGUAACACAUUUGUAUAAUUUGAAGAUAUUCUACCAUGAAAAUGAUUUUUUUUUCUCUUAACUCCUUUUCUCUAAAUUUCAGUGCUUGGGAUCUUGUAUGCGUUUAUUUCACCACCAGGCACCUACCCUGAGAUAAGCAGGGGCUGCCUGACAGUUUGGUGAAGGUGGGGGAAUUUAGUAAAUGUUGAAAAAUAUUAUUAGUAGCAGGGCAUCAUUAUGCAUUCUGAGUCGUGUGGAACUUCUUUAUUAUAGUACAUCAAUCCACUGAAUAUUUGAAAUAUUCUGGUCUAAUUUGAUGGAUUUUUUAAUCAGGGGUUCUAUUUUGAUUAUUUUUCUUUUUGGCAUGACACAUCUAGGUCA